CCCAGCCUCGGCCGGACUUUCUGUUUCCCCGGAGCCUUCAGCCCAACUACAAGUCAACCCGCACCCAACCACACCCCUCGCCCCCUGUGGACAUUGGCCGUCCUCUCUUCCCUCCUGUCAGACAUUUGUCAUUUCACAGUCCGGUUACGACUUGUCCUAACAACUAUCUAAAAACUGCAGAGGCAGGCAAACAGCAACACAUGCCUCCUGUCAAGCCAGUUGCAGAACGAGCUCUGCCCUCUGCUGACAGGCUGCAGAAACUACAGCUGACUGAGCCUCCUGCUGGCACUGGCAUUCAGCUCCAUACAGCUUUGAAGAACCCACAAUGGAGAAUGGAUUAUCAGAG